GAUGAACGCUGGCGGCGUGCCUAAUACAUGCAAGUCGAGCGAACAGACGAGGAGCUUGCUCCUUUGACGUUAGCGGCGGACGGGUGAGUAACACGUGGAUAACCUACCUAUAAGACUGGGAUAACUUCGGGAAACCGGAGCUAAUACCGGAUAACAUGUUGAACCGCAUGGUUCAACAGUGAAAGACGGUCUUGCUGUCACUUAUAGAUGGAUCCGCGCCGCAUUAGCUAGUUGGUAAGGUAACGGCUUACCAAGGCAACGAUGCGUAGCCGACCUGAGAGGGUGAUCGGCCACACUGGAACUGAGACACGGUCCAGACUCCUACGGGAGGCAGCAGUAGGGAAUCUUCCGCAAUGGGCGAAAGCCUGACGGAGCAACGCCGCGUGAGUGAAGAAGGUCUUCGGAUCGUAAAACUCUGUUAUUAGGGAAGGACAAAUGUGUAAGUAACUAUGCACGUCUUGACGGUACCUAAUCAGAAAGCCACGGCUAACUACGUG
rnacentral:rRNA from 1 species